GCAGCGGUAGUUCAGUUGGUUAGAAUGCCGCCCUGUCACGGCGGAGGUCGCGGGUUCGAGUCCCGUCCGCUGCGCCA
rnacentral:tRNA from 1 species